rnacentral:lncRNA from 10 species
GUGAUGGCAAGCUGCUUGUUCCCUGCAUCCUUGGCUGGCGAGAAGCUGAAGAGAAGUGAAAGCUCUACCUGUGAAGAGGCAGCAUUGCAGAAGGGAGGAGGUGGAGAUUCUGUCCUCAGUGCCUAGGGCCCUGCCUGGAUCUGGUUUUGCAGAGGGGAGGACGUAGAGAUUCUGUCCUCAGUGCCCAGGGCCCUGCCUGGAUCUGGUUUUGCAGAGGGGAGGACGUAGAGAUUCUGUCCUCAGCGCCCAGGGCCCUGCCUGGAUCUGGUUUUGCAGCUCCAGGGGAAACGUUUUGCACAAAUUCUCACUGGGAGCAUUAUCAGGGCUGCAGCACUUCAGUCUCUCCUGAUCUGAAUCCUUUUAACAUUAGCUGUGAUGCUGAGAAGGAUGAAAUUGAUGACACCAACAUCUGGUGGAAGACAAAAACCAGAGGGAUUUCCACCCAGGCAGAGCCCCUCCGCAGGCCUCCCCUCUUUGUGGCCUGAGGUCGGAGAGGCCUCUGGAGCAAGCCAGCGGAUGGAAUUCUCAGUUUUCUUCCAUUUGAUUAUUUUCCUAUUUUGACGUCUUUGAAAAAUGGCUCAGCCUUAUGGUGCAUGCGUUUUCUGAUUGCUUUUGUCUUUGUUUUAUUCUGAAUCAAGGACCGUGGCCACUGUGGGCUCCUCAUCCAGGACGUGGGGGCCCUCCGGGGCCUCAGUCCAUCCAUGCUGCAGUACAUGGUGAUUCUCAUGCAGAGGAUGAUCUCAGGGAUCAGCUUGAGCUGGCAGAGAAUUAAAUUAUAUGGUUUAUAAGAGUCCUGCCUCAGGGUCAGUGACACCAGGCCUGUCUCUGCUGCUAGCAAGGCCGACUUUCUUAUGUGCUGUCAUCGUGGUAAAAGCCUUGCCCACGUGAUGAAGACCCUGGACGGCUCUACUUGAGACAGAUUUCAGCUACGUUGCCUGGGAGUCUCUGGUACUUCUUCAAGGUUCUACUGAAGACAAUGACGUCAUCCAAGUACCUUGCAGUGCCUAAGUAGCUCUUGCCGCGGGAGCUCUGAGACCCCCUGUUAUCUAUUUUCGAAUUGGCCAAGGACCCCCGGCCAGGCAGGGGAUGCUCUGCCCAUCCUCGUCAGCCCUCGUGUCUUGUGAUCCUCCCCCAGCCUCCUGGCAAGCAUCCCUGUGCUUUCCGCGGGUGAGCGUGGCUGAGCUCAGUCUCGCUUACUACAACGGCAGGCACGAGGUCUGCGGAACUAAGAAGGCUCCUCUUUGCUCACUGGCCUUUCCUUUAAGUCCCUGGUCACUAACCUCUGGCAAGACAAUCCUUCUUGUGUUUUCUGGCGAUGGACUUGAGUGAUUACAAUGUGCCCUAGAGAGGACAGAUGCAUGGCUGUGGAGUCUUGUUCUGUGAUAUGUCAGUUUCAUUUUCAUGGCUGGGAUCUGCAGGACGAGCUUACAUAUAGGUAAUGAUAAUGGACUUCCUUGCUUCAUUUUCCAUCUCAGGAUGGACAGUGUUCAACCUUCUAUGACUAAUUACAGCCAUGCUGUAGGCUUUUCAUAGAUACCCUUUUUUUUUGACUCAGGAAUUACAUUCUCUUCUUAUUCCUGGUUUGCUAAACCUUUUGUAUUAAUGGUGUCAACUAUGAAUAUAUAUUGCAUUUCAUCAAAUACUUUUUUUCUGCAUCAAUCAAUACGAUUUAUCUUUCUUCUGUUAAUAUGGUGAUUUACAUUAAUUUGUCUUAGAAUGUUCAUUUCUUUCAGGUCCUUGCUGAUUUUUUUGCCUGCCUUUUCCAUUAGUUCCUGAGACAAGCAUUUUAAAACCAAACAACAUAACUGAGGAGCUGUCUGUCACCCUUCGUGAUUCUGAAAACACGUGCUGCAUGUGUUUUGAGGUUGUUAUUUGGAGCAUGUGCAUUUACAAUUGUCUUACUGCCUUUGCAGUUUGAGUUUUUAUUAAAUGUUUCUCUUCAUCUCUGGUCAUGCUUUAUGCCGUAGAGUCUGUUAUUAGCAGAGCUACUCCAGGUUUAUUUUUCAUGAUAUUAUUUUCACUUCUUUUUACUUUCCAACUUUUAUAUCAUUAUGUUGAAGGUAUCUCUUUUGUUAAUCACAUAGUUGCAUUGUGUUUUCUUUUUUCAAAUAUGUAUGAGCAGCAUAAAAUUGGAUGUUCCUUUGAAACAACAGCAGUCAGAAGUCCAUGAGGAGGUGUCUUCUGACUGCGAGGAUAAGGGUGGAUCACCUUAAUGCAAUCAGGGAAUGAUGUGUUAGAAGCAUCUAUAGUUCCUGCUUCCCCUAAUUUCUAGCUGUAGCCAUUUGAAGAUUCUAAGCAAGUCCUCAACUGUUCAGCAGAGCCUCUGGUCCAGCAUGAGACCAAAACCCAGGUAUUGUUUCUCUGCUCCUUUGAGACUUCAGAAACCUCUGCUGUGGUUUUCAGUGUCUCAGAAUUGGCCAUCAUCUCUAUCAAAACAGCCUCAGCGGCUGAGCUCCUCGCCCCGUCUCCUUCCCCACAUAGGAGCUGGUCUCGCCCUUGGCCCUCCUAACUCUCCAGCGUGUCCAGCCUGACUGGGAGAAACGUCCUGUUCAGGUGUUUGGUUGUCUAAGUGCUUCCCGCGGGGACGCCGGGCCUGAGCCUCUGUGAGAAGGGGAGAUCCCUGUGCAGUGUGGACCAACUUCUUUCCCUUUUCCAGGCUCCCAGUUUCUCCGCCUGUGCUGAGACCUUGUUUCCCAGGACCUCGGUGGACUUGGCUUUCAUGACUGGUGCCUCACCCCAGCACAUGUGCCUAAAAUAACAGAAAAAUACAGUGCCUGCAUGUUGGGAGCAAGCCCCCCAAAGUCUGGCCCCAAAACUGGCCAUAAAUAAAAUCUCUGCAGCAAUGUAACAUGUCCAUAAUGGCCAUAAAGCCCAAGCUGGAAGGUUGUGGGUUUACAGGAAUGACGGUAAGGAACACCUGGCCCGCUCAGGGCGGAAAACUGGUUAAAGGCAUUUUUAAGCCAUAAACAAUUAGCCUGAGCGAUCUGUGCCUUAAGGGCGUGUUCCUGCUGCAAUUAAUUCAGCCCAUCCCUUCGUUUCCCUUAAGGGAUACUUUCAGUUAAUUUAAUAUCCAUAGAAACAAUGCUAAUGACUGGUUUGCUGUUAAUAAAUAUGUGGGUAAAUCUCUGUUCGGGGCUCUCAGCUCUGAAGGCUGUGAGACCCCUGAUAUCCCACUUUACACCUCUGUAU